rnacentral:snoRNA from 1 species
GAGUGAAAUUAUGGCAUAUCUUUCGGGACAGACCUGAUUAAGGUGACCACUAUUUAUACUGAUCACUC